UUGCUGUGGGACGACUGUUGAUGACUUU
rnacentral:sRNA from 1 species